AUCUCAAGUAAAUACUUGGAAUUUGGUUAGUGCGUUGGAUAAUGAAAUAAUAAUAUUGUGAAGUGUGUGAUAUUGUUUAAAGUAAAAGAGAUGGAGAGAGAGAAAAAAAUCACACACAAGAAGUUAUCCUGGUUCCCCCAAUGUGGGUUAGUCCAGUUCCCACAAUACUGUGAGAUUAUCCACUAGGUAGUUGAGUUAAAACUUAACCUCAACUUCUGCUUUUCUUUUUAGAUCCCUUACUUGAUCUAUACAAUGUCUUUCUUUUCACCCCUUGGGCUUUGCACUAGUUUCACUUACUAGAUUUUUACAAAUAACAAUCACUAAACACUAUUAGUGAUCCUUUUCAAAUAUCUUUGCUUUUGUUGUAUAAUGUUUGAAGCCUUUGUAAAGAACUCAAGUAAAAGAGUUGCUGCUGAAUUUUUGCUACUUCUUGCGAUGAAAGAGCCUUUGAAAUAAUCUUGAUGCUUUGAGAAUCAAGUAUGAUUAUAUGUUCUUAAUGACUCAAUGCCUUUCCUCUUUGCAAGCCCUUGUAUUUAUAGAUGAAAGGAGUCCCUUGCUGUAGUAAAUAAAACAAGCUCCUGAGGGCAUAAGAGGAAGAGUAAAGAAAGCUUGCCAACUCAUUAAUGUGAAAAAUUCUUGUGAAAAAUGUCUGGCAGGUUGUUCUCGAAAUUCUGAGAACGCUCUCAAAAAUCUGCUUUGGAUAGCUUGUAUUAAAGUGUGACAUCAUGAAUAGUACCAUGCAGAAUUCUUGCUUGCUAGUUGGCAACCAAGAUUGCUUUUGUUGGGCUGUCAAAUUCUCACGCCUUGGAGACAAAGAAAGCAAGUACAAGAGAUUUGG
rnacentral:lncRNA from 1 species